GACGAACCGUGCGAACGUUGUUCGGAAUCACUGGGCUUAAAGGGCGCGUAGGCGGGCGGGCAAGUCGGAGGUGAAAGCCCCCAGCUCAACUGGGGAAGUGCCCUCGAUACUGCCGGCCUGGAGGGAGGUAGGGGCGUGCGGAACUUCCGGUGGAGCGGUGAAAUGCGUAGAUAUCGGAAGGAACACCGGUGGCGAAGGCGGCACGCUGGGCCUCUCCUGACGCUGAGGCGCGAAAGCGUGGGGAGCGAACAGG
rnacentral:rRNA from 1 species